UACGGAGGGUGCAAGCGUUAAUCGGAAUUACUGGGCGUAAAGCGCACGUAGGUGGUUUGCUAAGCCAGCUGUGAAAUCCCCGGGCUCAACCUGGGCACUGCAGUUGGAACUGGCAAGCUAGAGUAGGGUAGAGGGGUGUGGAAUUCCAGGUGUAGCGGUGAAAUGCGUAGAUAUCUGGAGGAACAUCAGUGGCGAAGGCGACACCCUGGACUCAUACUGACACUGAGGUGCGAAAGCGUAGGGAGCAAACAGG
rnacentral:rRNA from 1 species